GUCGCGGCACCUGUAGCGGGUGCCCUUGUCCGUGGACACGGGGACGCAUUGCUUGCAGGUGGCGGCGCACUUGGUCAGGAGGUCGUCGCAGGUGUAGACACCCGACCAGCUGGUGCACUCUUUGCAGCACGCCUUCUUCGGCCCUGCGUGCGGCAGCAAUGCGUAUUUUGUUGCAUUCAGAAUCGGUCAGUUCGUCGUCAGACACCCACGCAUAUAUACAUACACGAAGAUUGAACUAUAUAUAUACACGAACAGCGUCCUAGCUAGUAGCUAGAUGAAAUUUCGAGCGUCAAGAGACACAUGCAAGCAACAAGUAUACGUACCUUGUCCUUUGGCCAUAGCUGCAGAGACCAGAAGGGCCUGGAGCACUAGGAUCGUCAAGAGAGUGCUGCUCUUCAUCUUCUCGACCUCGCGAGAUCUACCGCUUUGUUGCCAACAACACUAGCUACUUCGCUGCUGCUUGGAGUGUAAGAGCGGAGCUAGCUAACUUCUGAG
rnacentral:lncRNA from 1 species